GAGUGCCCUAGGCUCUCCAACCCAUUGUGAACUUACCAAACGUUCCCUCGGCGGGCUCAGCGCGCGGUGGCCUCCGGGCCUCCGGGCGUCCGCCGGGGAAAACCAAACCCUGAUUUAAUCGUAUUUCUCUGAGGGGCGAAAGCCCGAAAACAAAAUGAAUCAAAACUUUCAACAACGGAUCUCUUGGCUCUGGCAUCGAUGAAGAACGCAGCGAAAUGCGAUAAGUAAUGUGAAUUGCAGAAUUCAGUGAAUCAUCGAAUCUUUGAACGCACAUUGCGCCCGCCGGCACUCCGGCGGGCAUGCCUGUCCGAGCGUCAUUUCAACCCUCAGGCCCACCCUUCCGGGGGAGCGGGCCUGGUUCUGGGGAUCGGCGGCCCUCGCGGCCCCCGUCCCUCAAAUUCAGUGGCGGUCGCGCCGCAGCCUCCCCUGCGUAGUAGCACAACCUCGCACCGGAGAGCGGAACGACCACGCCGUAAAACACCCAAUUUUUUAAGGUUGACCUCGGAUCAGGUAGGAAUACCCG
rnacentral:rRNA from 1 species